AACGAACGCUGGCGGCAUGCCUAACACAUGCAAGUCGAACGAGACCUUCGGGUCUAGUGGCGCACGGGUGCGUAACGCGUGGGAACCUGCCCUUAGGUUCGGAAUACCUCCCCGAAAGGGGUGCUAAUACCGGAUAAUGUCUUCGGACCAAAGAUUUAUCGCCUUUGGGUGGGCCCGCGUUGGAUUAGCUAGUUGGUAGGGUAAAAGCCUACCAAGGCGACGAUCCAUAGCUGGUCUGAGAGGAGGAUCAGCCACACUGGGACUGAGACACGGCCCAGACUCCUACGGGAGGCAGCAGUGGGGAAUAUAGGACAAUGGGCGAAGGUCUGAUCCAGCAAUGCCGCGUGAGUGAUGAAGGCCUUAGGGUUGUAAAGCUCUUUUACCCGGGAUGAUAAUGACAGUACCGGGAGAAUAAGCUCCGGCUAACUCCGUG
rnacentral:rRNA from 1 species